ensembl:lncRNA
AAAUAUUAAGUUUUCUUUGAGAUUAGGCUAUGCAGUACAAAGGCCAAGACUCCCUGUUAUUCCCUUAUGGAGACCAGCAGAAUCCCGAGUAUUUUUCAGUCUGAACAUUUUCGUACACAACCAUAAAGAACAAACUCAAACAAAGGACUGAUGGUGAAGAACUGUGCAGCUGUAACCUGGGUGAACACGUCUGCAAAAUGGAGGCAGGGGCCUAAUUUUAGCUCAGGAGCCAAUAUCUGAACGCGUGGCUAUGGCAUCUACACCACAAAUGUAGUUCUGCAUGGCUUUGGUCCUCUCAGCAUUCUGAUUAUCUUCGGCAACCCAAGUUCAACUCUAUUACCUCCUUUGAAAGAAAACACUUGUGGCAGUUGUUCAGCCACAGGAAUUAGCAGUGAAGGUACUCCCCUUUGGCUGCUGAUGAGCACUGGUUGGACGUGCAGAUGGUCUGCUCGGUGACCUGGGCCAGAACCCUUGGUUUGUGAAGUGGGAUUCUAAAAGUGGAUUGUGACAAGAGUACAAGCAAAGAGCCACCACCCUGCAGUUGCCGGUGUGCCUCAGUUCUCCCUUCUGGAGAGGAACAGAUGCUGCUUGGAAGCUCUUUAACAUCUUUUCCAAAUCUGUACCACUGGGUGCAGAAGAAAACCCUGUAAUUUCCUACAGUUUAUUCUGCAGCUGUUCAGGUAGGAUUACCAAUAACAAUUCUACCAGAAAUGUCAGUGCUCUCUGUCCAACAGGCAUUUCCUGCAAAAGCCUGAUACUUCUGAGUGGAAGUUCUUUCUUCUUUUUCUCCCUUGGGAAUGAAAUAAACAACACAUCCCUGCUGAAGAGAGCCAUGAAACCUCCAUGUUCCAUAUCCAAUACUGAAGAAAGAGCUUUAUUUCAGACUCGAUCUUCAGCUGAUAUAGAGUAGUGAAUCCACAGAUUUCAGCCCUUGCUCUGCUUUACUUGCUCUGCUUACUUAUUUGAGCUGAAAAAUCAAUUGUGGUUAAGCAGCCAGCAAAACAAAUAAUUGUUCUCUCACUUGCAGCAUAUUUGAGAGUCAGCAAUGUUGGACAGCAUCAAACACCACAACAGAGUUGGUAAAUGCUAAAUAGUUUAGUG